GUGUUCUCUUUGGCAGCACAUAUACUAAAAUUGGAACGAUACAGAGAUUACCAUGGCCCCUCCACAAGAAGGACACACAAAUUCAUGAAGCGUUCCAAUUAAAG